AUUUUGCGUAGAUUGAUACAGACUUAUAAAAAUUGUAUCUGGCAUCCCUGUGCAACGCAUAGAUGGGAUGGGGUUUCCUCUGAAUAGUCGCUGUGAUACGGUCCGCGUUUUGGAUGGAAUACUCCGGCAGCAUUCACAUUUCUUUGGCAGCUCCAUUGACGAUUUGGUGUUUUUUUUUAAUAAUCAUAACGUCUCUGGCCUGAAGAAUGCGCAUCAGUUGGGACCACCAUAAAAUGGUGAGAUAAAGCAAAUUCAGAGGAGGCACUUUUCUUUUCGGUGGUUGACAGCUCUACUGCCAGGCGAUGAGGAAUGUCUUUUCGGAAUAUUAAUUUCCAUCCGGGAACGAAUCUCAACCAGCAGAAUGCAUCUGGAUUUCGCCUGGGUGGUGCUGGUUGGUUCCUGAGAAAUCGCCGGGUGUAAGAGAUGAGUUGCUGCAGGACCAAUAGGCGUUAUUUCACUGCAAGAUGGGGAAGAUUCUAUGCGAUGCAUGAAGUCUA